rnacentral:tRNA from 1 species
GGAAGCGUGCCUGAACAAAAGGACCACUGUGAUAAAGUGAACAUAGAGGUAAAACAGUCCUCUCGCCUCCU